UAAUAGCUCACUGGUCGAGUCGGCCUGCGCGGAAGAUGUAACGGGGCUAAACCAUGCACCGAAGCUGCGGCAGCGACACUAUGUGUUGUUGGGUAGGGGAGCGUUCUGUAAGCCUGCGAAGGUGACCUGUGAGGGUUGCUGGAGGUAUCAGAAGUGCGAAUGCUGACAUAAGUAACGAUAAAGCGGGUGAAAAGCCCGCUCGCCGGAAGACCAAGGGUUCCUGUCCAACGUUAAUCGGGGCAGGGUGAGUCGACCCCUAA
rnacentral:rRNA from 1 species